UCUUUCGGCUUCUUGAGGAUGUGUGCCAGUGAAAAUUUUCUAUAUUAUUAAUAAUAUUCACUGUCACUUAUCUGGUCCUCAAGGACAAUAUAUUGCUUUAUAAAGUCUCAAAUAUUUUAGUUCUAUUAUAUAACAUUAAAUUUGUUGACUUUCAGUUAUCAGUUCAGUGUUGAUCAUAAUUAUAUUACUUAUGCAAAAUCUCAAAUAUUUUAAUUCUGUAAAGUAGCACCAGUUUUAUUGACAAAUGUCAUAAACUCUAAUAUCAUAAUAUUUUGUCAAAAGGAUUUACUGGUUAGCUAAAUGCAAGACACUCAACCUGGGUCUUCAUUGUUUCUUGAAUUACUGAGCUACGAAACUUAAGCUGCUUUUAUUUUUCUUCAGGCAAGCUAAAGAUGUUGUUAAAGCUAUAAAAAAGCGCUUGGGAAGUAAAAAUCCAACAGCUCAGCUAUUUGCAGUAACAUUGCUGGAGAUGCUACUGAACAAUAUAGGAGAUUCUGUUCACAAGCAGGUUGUAGAGACUGGAAUUCUCCCAGUUCUUGUAAAGAUAGUAAAGAAAAAGUCAGAUAUACCUGUAAGAGAGAAAGUAUUUCUUCUUCUAGAUGCUGCACAGACAUCUGUUGGUGGGGCUUCUGGGAGGUAUCCUCAAUACUAUUCUGCAUACUACGAGUUGGUGGUAGGUACCUUUUUGUUCUUUUUUAUGUUAUGGGAUAGUGGUGGGUCUUUUAGAAAUGAAUUUUGCAUCAUCAACUCCAUUUUGUUAAUUAGGCUCCAGGUACUUGUAAUUUUGUCAUUGAUUCUGGAGAUUAAGACAAAAAAGUACCUGAUAAUUGAAGCUGACUGAUAAUAGCUACAUUAUCACUAAAGAUAAAUGAGGCUUUUGUGAAGUUGAUUGAAAAUUGUGUAGGAGAAA